GACGAACGCUGGCGGCGUGCCUAAUACAUGCAAGUAGAACGCACAGUUUAUACCGUAGCUUGCUCCACCAUAGACUGUGAGUUGCGAACGGGUGAGUAACGCGUAGGUAACCUGCCUGGUAGCGGGUGAUAACUAUUGGAAACGAUAGCUAAUACCGCAUAAUAUUAAUUAUUGCAUGAUAAUUAAUUGAAAGGUGCAAUUGCACCACUACCAGAUGGACCUGCGUUGUAUUAGCUAGUAGGUGAGGUAACGGCUCACCUAGGCGACGAUACAUAGCCGACCAGAGAGGGUGAUCGGCCACACUGGGACUGGGACACGGCCCAGACUCCUGCGGGAGGCAGCAGUAGGGAAUCUUCGGCAAUGGACGAAAGUCUGACCGAGCAACGCCGCGUGAGUGAAGAAGGUUUUCGGAUCGUAAAGCUCUGUUGUAAGAGAAGAACGGGUGUGAGAGUGGAAAGUUCACACUGUGACGGUAUCUUACCAGAAAGGGACGGCUAACUACGUG
rnacentral:rRNA from 1 species